GAGCGGCGGACGGGUGAGGAACACAUCGGAAUCUACCCUGUCGUGGGGGACAACGUAGGGAAACUUACGCUAAUACCGCAUACGACUUUGGGUGAAAGCGGGGGACUCGCAAGAGCCUCGCGCGAUUGGAUGAGCCGAUGUCCGAUUAGCUAGUUGGCGGGGUAAUGGCCCACCAAGGCGACGAUCGGUAGCUGGUCUGAGAGGACGACCAGCCACACUGGAACUGAGACACGGUCCAGACUCCUACGGGAGGCAGCAGUGGGGAAUAUUGGACAAUGGGGGCAACCCUGAUCCAGCCAUGCCGCGUGGGUGAAGAAGGCCUUCGGGUUGUAAAGCCCUUUUGUACGGGAAGAAAAGCUUUCGGUGAAUAGCCGGGGGUCAUGACGGUACCGUAAGAAUAAGCACCGGCUAACUUCGUGCCAGCAGCCGCGGUAAUACGAAGGGUGCAAGCGUUGUUCGGAUUUAUUGGGCGUAAAGCGCGUGUAGGCGGUUUCUUAAGUCUGAUGUGAAAGCCCUGGGCUCAACCCAGGAAGUGCAUUGGAUACUGGGAGACUUGAAUACGGGAGAGGGUAGUGGAAUUCCUAGUGUAGGAGUGAAAUCCGUAGAUAUUAGGAGGAACACCGGUGGCGAAGGCGGCUACCUGGACCGAUAU
rnacentral:rRNA from 1 species